AUCCAACUGACGAAUCCUAAAUAGGGUGAAUCGCGCGUUCUGGAU
rfam:Schistosoma mattheei strain Denwood, Zambia genome assembly, scaffold: SMTD_scaffold0017032